GUUACAGGACCCGAUGGGUCGGAAAAAAAAAAAAAAAAAAAAAGAGAUAUACAUCAUUGCGAGCCUCGCGAUUAUGGCUUGGAAAGGAUAUACCGGAGUCCGCUUCAAGCUACGAACUCCUCUUCCCGUCUCUGUCCUCCUCAGCCGCGUUCUCCAGUGCGUGUAGCAGACCUAUCGGCUCUCGUUCCGUCUCACUUCACUCCAUCUCCGAAGUCCCAACCCUAGGGGGAAAAGGGUGGGAUAGAUUCUUGGGGGCUGUAAAGGCAACGGCGGC
rnacentral:lncRNA from 1 species